rnacentral:rRNA from 1 species
AUGGAGGCUGCGGCAGCCACUGCUUUUGCCUGUAGGAUUGCGCCAAAGCUGUUGGCAUUCUUAGCUACAAAUCACAAGCUUCGGCAGAACCUGGAGCACGACAUCACCUACAUCAGAAAUGAGUUUGCGUUGAUCUCUGCCGCCAUUCAGCAAGAUGACGACCACCGCUGGAGGAGCCGACCCAGCAGAGACCACAUGCAGAGGGCCUGGGUCAAAAUCAUACGUGACCUGGCGCAUGCCGUCGAGGACUGCAUCGACCGCUUCAUGCACCGGGUGACCAUCUCCGGGACAUCGACAUGGCUUCGCCAAGCUGUUCACCGGGUGCAGACGGUGACAGUCCGUAAGGAGUUUGCCAAGGCAAUCCGUGAGAUCAAGAAGAUAUCACAGGAGUCAUCCAAGCUGAGAGAAACUUAUUACAGCGCCAGCAUAGCUGCUGGCACCUCCUCUUGUUCAGCAGCGUCGUCGUCAGUGGCAAGUGAGACGACGACACAGAUGGCGAUAGAUGACACUCUCUCAGCUGGCAGAUCUGUUGGCAUGGAUGCGCCCCAGGAUGAGCUUCUUGAGCUGAUCCAGCAGCAGCAACAGCAGCUCAAGGUGAUCUCCAUUGUUGGUUUCCAUGGCAUAGGCAAGACUCUCCUUGCCAGGCGUGUGUACCACAGAAUGGAGAACCAAUACGAAGCUCGGGCUUGGGUCUCUGCAGCAAAGCAAGGGGUCCCAACAAAUGUUCUCAAGCAGAUACUCCAGCAACUUGGUAUCCCCACCAAUGGUGGAGGCAACUUCAACAAGCUCUGUGCAGUCCUCAGACUAUACCUUGGAAGCAAGAGGUUCUUCAUCGUCAUCGAUGACAUGCAGACGGAAUUUUGGCAUGAUAUAAAAGAUAUCUUUGUGGGGCUGAGCGGUAGAGUUCUGGUGACGACGGCCAUUCAGUCAGUAGCAAAUGCCUGCAGCAGCUCAGCAGCUCAUGAUCAUGUGUAUGCAAUGAAAACUCUUGCUGAUGAACAUUCAAGACUACUGUUUUUCAAGGAAGCUUUCCAAGACGACAAUCCGCCAGUCAAUAAGGAGGAUCAGCUUGGCUCAGAAGCACUGAAGAAGUGUGAUGGCUUACCCCUUGCUCUUGUCACCACAGCUCGGUACUUGCAAAGCACAGGUAAUCCGACACGUGAAAACUGGGCAACAUUAUGCCACAACCUUGGAGUACAUCUGGAAACAAAAGAGAUGUUGGCAAGAAUGAAGUGUGCGCUUGUCCAUAGCUACACCAGCCUUGUUAAACAUGAUGUCAAGACAUGCUUGCUCUACCUAGGUAUCUACCAUACUGGUCGUACUGUCAGGAGAGGAAACUUAAUAAGGAAAUGGUGCGCCGAAGGGUUUAUCCAAGGAGAUUAUAUGUGUAAUGCUCUGGAUGCCGCUGUCGCCAAUUUCAGAGAGCUGGUCAACCGGAGUAUCAUCCAGCGUACAGAUGCCAGCAGCAAAAACAUCAAAGAUCAGGUGAAGACAUACCGUACUCACGGCAUGAUGCUGGAGUUCAUCCUGCACAUGUCCAAGUGUGACAACUUCAUUACCUUGUUAUAUGAUCAGCUGGCUCCCCCACCCCCACCCAGUAAAGUCCGUUGGCUCUCCCUCCAUGACGCAAGUGCCAGAGUAGCCAAUGAUCUAUCUCUUGUCCGGUCUCUGACAGUCUUCGGCAAGGCACAUGAAUCCGUCUUGUAUUUUUCCAAAUAUGAACUGCUGCGGGUAUUGGAUCUGGAAGAAUGUGGUAACCACUUGGAGGACAAGCACCUUAGGGAGAUAUGCAACAACCUGUUGCUGCUUAGGUACCUAAGCCUCGGGGCCGCUCUUACAGUUACAGUGCUCCCCAAAGAGAUAAAAAAGCUUCAACUUUUGGAGACGCUGGAUGUGAGAAGAACCAGGAUAGAGAUUCUGCCCACACAAGUCAUGGAGCUGCCAUGCCUGAUUCACCUAUUUGGAAAGUUCAAACUCCAACAAGGUGUAGGUGGCCGGAAAAUGCUUAAGCUACAAACUUGGUGCUCAGAGAAUAGCAAAUUGGAAACAGUGGCAGGAUUUGUUGUGGACAACAACAAGAGCCAAGGAUUUGCACAGCUCAUGGAGCAUAUGAAGCACUUGACAAAGGUGAAAAUAUGGUGCCAGCAGUCCACUAAUAAUAGUAUGGAUCCCAUUUCCAGCGGCAGCAGCAGCAGCAGCAAGUACACUCAUCUCUCAGAAGCCAUCAAGGGGUUCAUCAAAAGAAGCACCGAUAAAAAAGCUCAUUCACUGUCACUGAGUUUCAAUGACAGAUGGUGCCAAGACUUGCUCGUGAACUUAUCCCUAGAAAAAGAACAAGCCUCCUCCUGCUAUCUUAGCUCGCUCAAGGUACAAGGGGGCAACAUAUGCAGCCUGCCUCCAUUUGUUACCAUGCUAGGUGGUCUCACUAGCCUGUGCCUUUCAUCCCCUCAUCAUCAGCUGAGUGGGGAUAUUCUUGCUGCCCUGAGCAGAGUGCGCUGCUUGGCGUACCUAAGGCUGAUUGCAUCCCAACUGGGCAAACUUGUCAUUGUAAGAGGUGCACUUGGAAGCCUGCGGCGACUAUGCAUCGUGGUUGAAGUCAUGACUGAACUGGAAGUCCAAGAGGGAGCUCUGCCGCUCCUCGAGUCGCUCCAGCUGCUAUGUAAGGAUCUAAAUGGCUUUUGCAGCAUCAUGAUCCAGUCCCUGGGACGUAUUAAGGAGGUCACCCUCCAUGAUGGAGUCAAUGAUGAAACAAGACAGAAGUGGAAGGAAGCAGCAAAAAACCACCCCAGACGCCCGAAGCUCUUGUUUGUUAAGACAGCAGAAGAUGUUGAUAUGGGAAGUGAACCUGCAGACAAUUCUGAGAGCCCUACGGUGCCAACCAAUGAUACGACAUUACCAGUGACAGCGCCCCACGAUGCCAUUUCUACUGGACAGUCUGUACAAGUUGAUGGUGAUGAUCUGCAACAGGAUGAUGAUGAGAAAGAAGAUACAGAUAAAAUUGAUAUGCUAGUGGAUUUUGUUAGCAAAACUUGUCUGGGCACUAUGAUGAACAAGGAAAGUUUUGAACAGGGGAUGGAAGGAAUGGUGGUGGGUGAGAAUAGAAGAAAGAGGGCUAGGACUGUUGGUGAAGGCAACUCAAUGGACAAGGUUUUUGAUAGGGUGAAGCGCAAGAACCCGGAGGACAUCCCAGUUGGGCUCUGA